ACGGCGAGCACUGAAAAGGCCGC
rnacentral:piRNA from 1 species